AAUGCUUAGGAAUCUGCCUAUUAGUGGGGGACAACAUUCCGAAAGGAAUGCUAAUACCGCAUACGCCCUACGGGGGAAAGCAGGGGAUCUUCGGACCUUGCGCUAAUAGAUGAGCCUAAGUCAGAUUAGCUAGUUGGUGGGGUAAAGGCCUACCAAGGCGACGAUCUGUAGCGGGUCUGAGAGGAUGAUCCGCCACACUGGGACUGAGACACGGCCCAGACUCCUACGGAAGGCAGCAGUGGGGAAUAUUGGACAAUGGGCGAAAGCCUGAUCCAGCCAUGCCGCGUGUGUGAAGAAGGCCUUUUGGUUGUAAAGCACUUUAAGCGAGGAGGAGGCUACUUAGAUUAAUACUCUAGGAUAGUGGACGUUACUCGCAGAAUAAGCACCGGCUAACUCUGUGCCAGCAGCCGCGGUAAUACAGAGGGUGCGAGCGUUAAUCGGAUUUACUGGGCGUAAAGCGUGCGUAGGCGGCUUUUUAAGUCGGAUGUGAAAUCCCUGAGCUUAACUUAGGAAUUGCAUUCGAUACUGGGAAGCUAGAGUAUGGGAGAGGAUGGGUAGAAUUCCAGGUGUAGCGGUGAAAUGCGUAGAGAUCUGGAGG
rnacentral:rRNA from 1 species